GGUGAACGCUGGCGGCGUGCUUAAGACAUGCAAGUCGAACGCAGUCUUCGGACUGAGUGGCGCACGGGUGAGUAACACGUAACUGACCUACCCCCAAGUCGCGGAUAACUGGCCGAAAGGUCAGCUAAUACGUGAUGUGAUGUCCCCUUUCUGGGGGGCCAUUAAAGGUUUACUGCUUGGGGAUGGGGUUGCGUUCCAUCAGCUAGUUGGCGGGGUAAAGGCCCACCAAGGCAACGACGGAUAGCCGGCCGGAGAGGGUGGCCGGCCACAGGGGCACUGAGACACGGGUCCCACUCCUACGGGAGGCAGCAGUUAGGAAUCUUCCACAAUGGGCGAAAGCCUGAUGGAGCGACGCCGCGUGAGGGAUGAAGGUUCUCGGAUCGUAAACCUCUGAAUCAGGGACGAAAGACGCGUAAGCGGGAUGACGGUACCUGAGUAAUAGCACCGGCUAACUCCGUGCCAGCCGCCGCAGUAAAAC
rnacentral:rRNA from 1 species